AAUUCGAGUCCUGGUUUUAACUUCACUGACAUUGAGAUUACACUGGUCUGUAUGGCUUUCUUUCUUGACUGUCUGUGUGGCUUGAUGGGUUAAUACGGUUGUCCUUUCUUCACCCAAUGCCAUACCUCGCACCCAAUCCAUACCUCGCACACCCUCAGUGUCAGUGACGCAAACAGAUGAGGUCAAUCUCAGGAAGCGGGGUGUAGAUCAUGUUUUUUUUCCAAACUGCCGUCUGAGGGGACUGAGCAAUGGAGGAUGGAGGCAGGGCCAUGUCAUACCACAUCAUCAUACCACAUCCUGCCUCACCCUCCAACCUGCACCUUAUGGCUCUGUUGGCGUGGUAAUCAAAACGGACCGUUUCCUCUUGUCAACUUCGAAUGGGUGGCUUCUGGUUCGAGGUAUCCCAUGGGGCCAUAGGGCAGGGUGCGAUAAUGAGUGUUGCUGCAGAAGAGGAAAUUACGAGUAAAGGGGAAGAGGCAGUGAGAUGAGAAAGCUGGACAAUUAGGUAUGUGUACUUUUCUGUUUAUUUGCAUAUAUAUUUUAUUAUCCAUGUUGAGCAGAGUUGGUCUCUAAUUGCGUGAAAUCACUAGACGUACAACUUUUUCAUUGAGAACUGACAACUUACUGAGUAUGAGACUGAGUGACAAUGGGAAGCAAUGGCAGAGUGUUCAAAAGUGUGCCACAAUAUUACUAGCAAAACAAAGUCAUCUGAUUCACUGGAUGCCUCCGUCUCUCUCUCGUUUUCUCUCUCUCUCUUUAUUUCUCAUUCUCUUCUCUCCCUCUCUCCUUUACUCUUCUCUCUAUCCCACUAUUCCUAUCUUUCUCUGCCCCUCUCUUUCUCACACACAGACAUGAUGAGAUUGACUCUGAUUUCCCUCGCCAUGUGCCUUCCUCACCUCCUCGCCACUCUUGUCUUCCAUUCUACCACUGCGGCUUCACCAAGCGCCACAGAAACAACAACAACAGCUCUAGACCUUAGUAUCAGCACUACAACAUCAGACCCCCUGAUAAUUCCACUCUCCACAACUGAAAACCACCCUGGUAGGACUAGUGGCAUGUUCAACACACAAGUGAAGAAAAGCGCUAGCUUAGCAGCUGUCAACAACUCAGGCAGAACGACUCAAGGAAGAGGCAUUCUCAGAACAGGAACUGCCACUUACGCCACCACAGCUGUACAGAAGAGCAACAGGCACAUAACUGCAGGAGACUUGAGGAGGGAAACAGAGAGCCACAAUCACCAUGAGACUCUUCCCUUCAGCAGACACACAGCCUCACCCACAACUGACCACCCCAGCACCACCUCUCUCCCCGGGGAGGAAGGGACUGAGUAUCAUGACAGCAGCACCACUGAAACAGCCAGAGAACUGAGCACACCAAAUUCCAUAGAGACAUGGGCUGCUGACACCAUUAAUGACUCCAGGCUAGCGAAGCCACACUUAGACAGGUCACAAGCAGCAGACCAGCACCCUGCUACACAAGGACUAGAGAUUGCAUCAGGAGAUUACUACACAACACAGAGAGACUUCUUCACAAUCACCCCAACUAGUAGAGUGACAGGUUUGAACAGAGGUAAACAAAGUAAGGCCAACAGCGUCACAACAACAACAACAACGGUUUCACCUACGUACACAGUCACACGUCCUGGUUUGUAUGAGCACAUGACUGUGACUUACUGGGCUACCGGCUACAAAACACAACCUGACGACACAAGCCAGUCUAUGGACAACCAGGACCACGCCACCAUUUCAAUCCCCCAUGCUGACAAUAGGACAACUCCAUAUAUCAAUGCAAACACGUUUACAGAUAAUGACACAGACAACGACACAAACACACUUUCACACAGUAAUACCACAACCUCUAAUAAUCGUAACACAACAGUACUUUUGAAGGAGAAAACUCAUUCAUUCAGACACAACCACACAAUCUCAGGUUAUGACAACAGGCUGAACAACACAACUGAAAACACUGUGCAUGAUCGUCCUGAGUGCGGAGAGGCAGAUGAAAGGUCCCUGUCGUUGCUUCCUGGCUCUUCUAGACUGGUCUGUUUCAUUGUUCUGUGGGCUCUGGGAUUGACUGCUUCGGUCUUCCUCGGUCUCACUGUCUUCCUGUGGGUGCGUUUGUCAGUCCAGAGAGAGAGGGGAAGGAGAGUGAGGAGAGGAGGAGAGAAUGUGUCAGGGGUGGAUCUGGAGAACCUGUGGGUCGACCAGAUGUCGUCGGUGGAGGAAAGGGUUGAAUUCUGGUACACCAACGGCUCCACCAUGGGACCCGACCAUAAACGGAGGGAGAGAGAGAGAGAGAGGGUGAAGGAGAGGGGGAGGAGGGAGCAGGGGAGGCAGAAAGGGAUAGAGUGUGACAACCUGUGGACUCAACCCAAAGUGACACUGGAGGACAUCACUGAUUUCUGGUAUGCAAAUGGAAGAGCGAUACCAGAAGAAACUACAGACCAAACGCUGUUGGAGACCUGCGUAUGAUUCUGUUUUUUGUACUACAGUACUACAAUUUACCUGGAAUUACUUUGGAGAGAAAUGUUCAUCAUUAUUUUACCAAUUCCAUGGCAGAUUUGAACACUGUAAUCCUGACCAAGUUUAAACAUUUCCAAAAUGAAUUGAUAAUCUGUAUGUUUAUUGGCUGUAACAAAAGUAUAAGUAUGUGAUCUACAUAAGUCUACGGAAAGAUAGAUUAAGGCUGGGUCUGAUCAGAGAGAAAGAAGAGGACAGAGAGAGAGGAAUAGAGAGAGAGAUCAGAACAAUGUCUAACUGGAAAUAACACUUGAUAAGAGAGUUCCCAUUUUAAGACAAUUCAGACCUUGUUAGAGACACAUCAUCAUCGUGUGUCAGACAGCAACGAGGAGAUAGGUGCCAUUUCUACAAACACACUGACACAAAUACGGUUGACUCCUAAUACUGUACAUGCACUGUUAUUAGGAGCUAGUCAAAUAAAAAGGACUGCACUGGGCGUAAACAACUUAGUUUCAUUUACCUGACUGACCAUGUUUACACGCGCACAGCAUUCCAGAUAAUAGCUCAUAACCUAGUUAAGGUCUUAUUCGAGAUAAGCUGUUAAAAUACAUCUUUGAUAUCCCGCUUACGAGUAUCCCUGUAUAAACAGAAUAUUCCUAAAUUUACCCAUGAUACUAUGCAAAACUGAGCUUGUACAAACAAUGUAAAACAACAGUAAACGGAAUAAUAUAUUUGUAUGACACAGUAUCCCGUCUACAAUCAGCAUAUCCCAGGCAUUUUAACUGGGUUUCUCAUAACCGGGACACAAGCUUAUUCGGGUUAUUGUAAACGGGAUAUGAUGCUAAUAUGCGGCAACUAAAAAACGGAAUACUAGAAUAUCCCAAAUAGUAACGGAAUAUCGGUGUGCCUGUGAACAUGGUGACCUAUCAGGAAUUGACUAUAGGUCUACCUCACAAUUGAUAGUGGAUCGGCCAUUUGAUCAAUAAUGUAUAACUGUAAAUACAGUAGAAAAUAUACCCUUGUAGAAUUUAACACCUAACCAGCUGAAGUUUGACAUAUAAUGUCCCAAGACAUGAGAUUUUUUUUUUUUAUUACAUUAUAAAACAGAAUUUUCAUCAUACUCUCUCUACUUUGAAUUCUCAUGUUUUGACAACCUAUGCCCUUUGACUGCCUGCUCCCCACACACACGCACACACACCGUCAAACAAACACACAUCCAAGUAGGCCUGUGUGUACGUGUGCAAACACACUCUGGCUCAAACAUUUCAACACACACACACAGCUUCUUCUCUUUGUAGGACCAACUUCUCCUUUUUCAUCAAGAAAAUAAGCACAUGACGCAAUAAACAAAAUGAAGCUACUCUUAAGUUAUUUGGCACCUCUCUAACCCCACCACUUUCGCAGUUAACAAAACUGUUUUACGAAGAAUUUGAUACUCUGAGGGGAAGAGAUAGAGAGAACCAACUAGAGAGAGAAAGGGAGGGGAGAGAAAGAAGGGAGUGAACAGGAGGGAGGGAGGGAGGGAGCGAGCGAGCGAGAAAGGUGUUUUGGACAUGUACUAGUGCACGAGAUGUCAUUCACACAGUACAGGAGUUAAAGCAUGUGCCUUUAAGGUGGAUUCAUAAUUUCAAUCCAAUCGUUUUCUCCAAGCAACAUGUGGGUCUCGUGCUUUUUUUGGUUCACCGUUGCUGCAAUCUCUCACGCUACACUUGAAAUAGACAGCUGAUACAGAAAAGUAAAGUGAAGUGCAGGGGAGUAGGAGGAAAGCUGAAGUGCGCGAGAGGAAGAGAAGGGUUGUGUCUUUCCGGUCUAUUUGCACCUAAAUACACCCUAGUGAACAACAAGCCCAGCAACCAGGAGAGACAGCAAGAGAACACAAGUUUGACUAUGUAAGUGCACUUCAUAUGCCUAACACUCAGUCAAACCUUUGUUAAUAAUCUAAGGCAUGGCCUGAAAGAAAGGGAAAUUCCGAGAGCAGUGAAGAUCAAAGCCUGACACACAAUCGUUGUCAAACCAAGAACCCCGGUACCUGAUGACGGAUACCGCUUUUCUUUUCUAGAAUGUACAUUUUUCUGCUCUAGACUUGUAAAACAAACCUCCAAUACCUUUCAAGCCACAACGCUGUCGCUGAUGCACCUCAGAAAGAGGAAGACAAACGUAAUCUGAGAGAUCAGCAAAACCCUUCAGGGACGGUUGACCUCUGUGACCCCUCUCACUUCUUGCCCAGUAUGGAGCGGAUACAGCUGAUGCUUGGGGCUCUGCUCCUCUCCCUCUCUCUGCCCAGUCUCCCUGCCCAAGAUAAUGUCACCGUCACUGUACCUGAGAAUGUCACCAUGGCAGCACCUAUUAAUGAGGAAGUCACGAUGGCAGCCUCUACACCGGAGGCCACCAUAGAGACAACGCCUGCUCCUGUGGUCAUCACUAGGGCACAGCCUGCCCCUGAAAUCAUCACCCCGGUAACUGCUAUUCCGAAAGUAACUUCUGUUUUAGUACGUACCACUGAUGCCAUCACUAUGGUAAUAACAAACCCUGAGAUCACCAUCGUUCAGGAGUCCACCUCUGAUGCACCAACUACUACUUCAGAGGUUGAAACGAUGACACCUUCCCCUGUGACCACUGAAGGGCCUAUAGAUACGACCAAUCCACCUGGUCCUAAACCCACCCUCUCCCAAGACGUCCUUAUGACCGCCUCUUAUCUCCCAACCCCUUCCCAGGACCACCUGACAUUUGUUAUCCCAGUCUGGCCCCUCCAAACCACCCCUCAUCUGACGGAGGACUCCACUUACACACCUGAACCUACACCUGCCUCAGAGAUUACUGCCUACCACACAGAGGGACUUACCACUGCACCCACCUCCCCAUUGGUCAAUCCCCCUCCCGGCCAUGCCACGACCCCCGCUACCACCCACACCUCCACAGAUCCAGACUCUACGGUGGCUGGGGUCAGGGUGAAGACAGGUCAGCCCAGCUUGUUAUGGGUCAUCAUCGUUGCUCUCCUGAUCGUGGUUAUAUUCGCGGGCGGGUUCUACUGUGUUUGUCUGGUCAUCAGACGAAAGAGGCAGAGCCACACCGAGUACUUUGUGUCCAGCUUCCGGAACGGGAAGAGUUCCAAGCGGAAGAAAGGGGCGGAGGAAGACGCCUGGGCAGGGCCAGUGAAGCUAGGGCGUGGGGAUGGGGAGGAGGAUGAGGGUGGGGAGGAGGGAGGGAGCCCAGAGGACAACAAGAGAGAGGGGGCUGGAACGGAUGUGGUGCUGAGCACAUUCAUAGCCAACGAGACUGAGGGAGAGAGGGGUGGGCCUGAUGGGGGAGUAGGAGUGGCUGGGAGCAAGGAGGCAGAGAAAUGGGAGGAGAAGGAGCCUCUGCUGUACAUUGAUGAGGGAGUGGAGGAGGGGCAAGAGAGGAUGGCUCUUCCUUCACUUUCAAAAUCGAACUGAGAAAAGACAGGAGGGGAAAAAAGAGAGGGGGAAAGUGAAAAAGAAAUGGAGAGGGGAGAAGGGAAUGGAAAGAAAGAAAAUUAGAGUGAGAGGUAAGAAGAAUGGAGGAGCGGCAUUCUGUCUAACCACUGCAGUUUAAAAAUAGAAGAGUUUUCCAUAAAAAGAUUUUCUAGGUGAUAAUGUAAAAGUUAAAAAUAUUUUUGUACUACUGAAAAGGCCUUUGACAUUGUAUGUAUCUGUGAUUGUGUGCUCUGUCAACAUAACUCAGGGAAGAUAGGAGUGGUUGUGUGCAUGGUCAUAAGUUUUACCCUUGGUAUUUUGUAUGCUGUUUUGUCUUAAUGUUUUUUUGUUAAAUAAAGUUUUAGAUGUGCAGAGUGCAUGUUCUAGAAUGAAGUUGUUGAACGUGGCAGAAUAUUAAUACUUUUUGCUUAACAAUUUGCGGUCUUCAAAUGCACUUUAUUUAUGGAACUGCUUAAAUCAAUAGCAAUCAAUUCAUAGGUGCAAAUCUGAACUUCCACUGAGACAAAUAGUCACUUAGUCUCCCAUUGACAUCAUGACUAAGUGAAUAUUCAACUUCAGUGGAAGUUGGGAUUUGUCCCAUAGAAAAGGCUUUGUUUACUUGAUUUGAUAUGGGGUUCCCGAGUGGCGCAGCGGUCUAAGGCACUGCAUCUCAGUGCUAGAGGCGUCACUACAAACACCCUGAUUUGAAUCCAGGCUGUAUCACAACCGGCUAUGAUUGGGAGUCCCAUAGGGUGGUGCACAAUUGGCCCAGCAUUGUCCGAGUUUGGCCGGUGUAGGCUGUGAUUGUAAAUAAGAAUUUGUUCUUAAUUGACUUGCCUGGUUAAAUAAAAAAAACAUACGUGUUGCUGAUUAUGGCCACUAGGUUGUGCCCUUUCCCCAUCUUUAUGAUCAGAGCACAGUUCAAUGUGACCUGCAGUAAAGAGCGGUGUUGUGAUGACGCACAGGUCUUCUAUUCUACUGGUCUGUUUUUUCUGAAGUUGCAUCUGUUGCAAACGUCUAGCAGAGAAAACAGCAGAGAUCAAAAACAGUUGUUCAGGCAAACAACUCAGUCAUAGAACCCCUCUGAUGUGAUGUGAUCACAAAUUAAACUUAAAGCCACAACAACCGCUUUUAGUAAGAUUGAUCCUUGGUAAAUAGAAAAUGUUAUCCUGGCCACUACACCACCUCAACCUUCGUCAACUAUUAUUUCAGGAAGGGGAGUAAGUAUGUGUGUGGGUUGGGGGAGGGGGGUGCGUACAACAGAAUCAGAGGAAAUAGAAGAGAAACAAAUCUGCAACUCUGUCAAAUAAAUGCCUUAAUGUCUCUCUGCUCUGCUCUGCUGAAUAGGAUAAUCUGACAGAGAAUAAUGUUUGUUUAGAGAGAGAGAAGGAGAGAGGUAGAGAGUGUGAAAGGGAGGAGGGAGAGAGAUGUGGUGAGUAAGGGGAUGGAGGUGUGGAGGAAGAAGGGGCGCUGGAGGAGCGACGGCAAAAAUACUGAGGAGAGGAGAGAGCAAGAGAGAAAAGAGAGCGGCCAACAACACAGUCACAUCUGGAAGUUAUUGAGAAGUAGAGAGAGCGAGGGAGAGAGAAAGAGAGAGAACUAUUGUGAAUUGAAAAGAGGGAGAAAGGAUAAACAAACUCUAGAUGUAGGGAUAGAUAGAUUUAUUAAAUGUAUCAACUGAGUUAAAGAUUUACGGGAGGACAGAGUUUAUCUAAAAGUUGACAAGAAUUCUACAGUGGACAGAGAGAAAGGAACAGAGGAAACAAAGAGAGAGCGCAAGAAACUGUAAUUCUAUCCUAAGAACAAUCCAUACCAAGAGGGGAGGACGACAAAGAGGGAAAAUUAAUGUAGCUUUCUAAUCUGGAGGACCGUCUAAAACAGAACAAAGUGGACUGAAUCAAAACUUAUGUUAUUGAGUUGAAAUUAAAUCAACUCAACAAAGGAGAAGAGUCCAGAGACCAAAAGAGGAGUCCCUUAGUCUGGAAUUCUUCUACGCAUUUGUCUUCCUAUCAGGGCCUGUGGAGUCAACCAUCAGACAGGUACAGUAGACUUAAUUAAAACAAAACACACACAACACACACACACACAGUCUUGUACAGCUAACCUUGUGGGGACACACAAUUCAGUCCCAUUCAAAAUCCUAUUUUGCCUAACCCCUAACCUUAACUCAUAUUCUUACCCUUACACUAACCCAAAAAGCUAACCUUAACCCUAACCCUAGCUCCUAACCACCCUAAAACUAACCCUAGCUCCUAACCCUAACCCUUAACGUUAAUCUAGCCCUAACACAAAUUCUAACCUUAACCCUAAACUCCCUAGAAAUAGCAUUUGACCUCAUGGGGACUAACAAAAUGUCCCCAGUUGGUCAAAUGUUUGUUUGUUUACUAUUCUUGUGGGGACACACACACACACGUUAAAGGUCUCGGCCAUUGCAGGUAUGCCUUGUCUGUGUAUGCAUGAAUCCUAGUAAUGGCAUAUAUUGAUUUAUGAUAAAUUGGUUGUGUAAGACUGAGACUAAUUUAUAUGUAAUAUAAUUUACAUCAGAACUUAAGCCAAAGUAGUUUUUUUCUUCUUCUGUAGGUCUGCCUUCAGUUAUGUCCAUUCUAAGCGUUGAACAAAUAAAAACGCAUAAAAUGCUUUUGCAUUGUUCACACUAUUAACAUGAAUGUCUUUUUGCUUGAUCAAGAAUUGUUCCCCAUUUUCAAAGACUGACUCUUACUUUACAACUAUUAAUAAAAUACAUACUCCUCUGUUUCAUUCUGUUCUAAGUAUUUUUAAGUAUUUUCUACCACACUAUUCUGCCCUCUGGCAUUAGCAUGCCUUUAGAAAGAGCUCUACUUCCAGUCGUGUUAUGAGUCAUGUUUAUCAUGUCUCUGGCUGGUCAUGGUAACCUUCCACGACCGCCCCACAUGAGUUAAAUUAGCACGCACACACAAUUAGCAGUCCAACAGGAGAAGGGAGGUUCCUUCCUGUCCGCUCCAACAAGCUGACUUCCUGUGUGUGGAACAGGUCACUAGAUUCCAACACAGUGACUGUGUGACUUAUCAGACCCACUCAGGAAAACAGCCUAGGGAAUAAGUCCACCAUACACACUGUACUGGCUGGCUAAGAACAUUACAACACAGGCAUAGACCCCCCCCCCACACACACACACACAACUAACCGCAGCCACACCAUAUAAAUACCUUUAGAAGUAAUCUAACCACAAUACACAAAACCAUCUGCCACCACAACCACACCUCAAAUGUGCUGUAUGUCCAAGGUAUACUUGAGUAGAGUUAAGUAGAUUAAACUUCUCAAGUCUUGUCUUGAACUUGUUAUAAACUAAUUAGCUUGAACUUGAUAUUAGUAUAUAAAAUAAUUUGUUCUCUCUCUGACAGGAUGUCAGCCUCUCGGAGGUGCCUGUGCUGCGUGAAAUACCUCAUGUUCGUCUUCAACCUCAUCUUCUGGGUCAGUACCUUCACAUCUCUGUCCUUUGGCAUGCCUCAGCUUUUCGAAGGCACAAUCUGUAUGAUUUUCUGCUGUCCAAUGGUAAUUUAAAUGAAUUACAUACAGUACAGUAUACCCAUUGUUUGAAUCUUGAAGAAUAUAACUUACCAAACAAAGUGGGAGGGACAGGCUGUUGAAAUCACAGAUUGGGCUUUUUAGCUCCAAUUCCAGUUCUGAUCUGUUUCUGGUCUUUGUCUAGUCCUGUUUGUGUGGUUCUAUUAUGGUGUUCUUCUAGCUCUCUUGUCCUGUUUUGGCUCAGUUCUGGUCUGUUCCAUUCUACAUACUUACAUACCAUAAGAGAUUGUAAAUUCUGGUCUUAAACUAUUCUGAUUCCAAUCUGGCUUUGUUCUAGUUUUGUACUGGUUUUGUUGUGGUCCUGUUUUUAUUAUGUUCACGUUUGGUCUAUUUAUUUGUCUCCCAAGUUAAUAUAUUUGUGAUCCCAGAUAAACAUGAAAAUGACCUUAGGCUGAGGAACAAGUUCACCAUGCACCACACAUAAUGUACAGUAUUGGCUAACAACACAAGGAUGUGAACACAAACUCUGAAUUAGAUAUAAUAAAGUCAUAAAGGGCCAUGGAGUAAAAAAAAAAAAAAGUGGGAAAACAUGAUAAAGCCUCUGGUUGGUGCCACCAAGACAUAAAACUACACUCCAAUAACUCUGGACAUACAGUACUAGUCAAAAGUUUGGACACAUCUUACUUAUUUUUACUAUUUUCUACGUUGUAUAAUAAUUAUAAAGACAUCAAAACUAUGAAAUAAUACAUAUAGAAUCAUGCAGUAACCAAAAAUAUAUUUUAUAUUAGACAUUCUUCAAAAUAGCCACCCUUUGCCUUGUUGACAGCUUUGCACACUCUUGGCAUUCUCUCAACCAGCUUCAUGAAGUAGUCACCUGGAAUGCAUUUCAGUUAACAGGUGUGCCUUGUUAAGAGUUCAAGUAACAGACAAAUAUCAACAUCAACUGUUCAGAGGAAACUGCGUGAAUCAGGCCUUCAUCAAAUCAAAUUUUAUUGGUCACAUACACGUUUAGCAGAUGUUAUUGCGGGUGAAGUGAAAUGCUUGUGUUUCUAGCUCCAACAGUGCAGUAAUAUCUAACUAGUAAUAUCUAACAAUUUCACAACAAUACACACAAUACAUACAAAUCUAAAGGAAUGGAAUUAAGAAUAUAGAAAUAUUUGGAUGAGCAAUGUCAGAGCGGCAUAGACUAAAAUACAGUAGAAUAGAAUACAGUAUAUACACUACCGGUCAAAAAUGUUAUAGCACCUAGUCAUUCCAUUUUUUUCUUUUUAAAAACUAUUUUCUACAUUGUAGUGAAGACAUCAAAACUAUGAAAUAACACAAAUGGAAUAAUGCAGUAACCAAAAAAAAGUGUUAAACAAAUAAUCUGAUGCAGGUCAUCUGAUGCAGCACUCUGGUAAGGGUAAAAUAGCCUGGAGGUGUGUUGGUUAUUGUCAUGUUGAAAAACAAAUGAUAGUCCCACGAAGCCCAAACCAGAUGGGAUGGCGUAUCGCUGCAGAAUGCUGUGGUAGCCAUGCUGGUUAAGUGUGCCUCACAAAGACACGGCGGUUGGAUCCAAAAAUUGGCAAUUUGGACUCCAGACCAAAGGACAAAUUUCCACCGGUCUAAUGUCCAUUGCUCGUGUUUCUUGGCCCAAGCAAGUCUCUUCCUCUUAUUGGUGUCCUUUAGUAGUGGUUUCUUUGCAGCAAUUCGACCAUGAAGGCCUGAUUCACACAGUCUCCUCUGAACAGUUGAUGUUGAGAUGUGUCUGUUACUUGAACUCUGUGAAGCAUUUAUUUGGGCUGCAAUUUCUGAGGCUGGUAGCUCUAAUGAACGUAUCCUCUGCUGCAGAGGUAACUCUGGGUCUUCCAUUCCUGUGGCGGUCCUCAUGAGAGCCAGUUUCAUCAUAGCGCUUGAUGGUUUCUGCGACUGCACUUGAAAAAACUUUCAAAGUUCUUAUUUUCCGUAUUGACUGACCUUCAUGUCUAAAAGUAAUGAUGGGCUGUCAAUCCUCUUUGCUUAUUUGAGCUGUUCUUGCCAUAAUAUGGACUUGGUCUUUUACCAAAUCUUCUGUAUACCCCCCUACCUUGUCACAACACAACUGAUUGGCUCAACCGCAUUAAGAAGAAAAUUAAUUCCACAAAUUAACUUUUAAGAAGGCACACCUGUUAAUUGAAAUUAAUUCCAGGUGACUACCUCAUGAAGCUGGUUGAGAGAAUGCAAAGCCGUCAUCAAGGCAAACGGUGGCUACUUUGAAGAAUCUAAAAUCAAAAAAAUACUUUUUUGGUUACUACAUGAUUCCGUAUGUGUUAUUUCAUAGUUUUGAUAUAUUCACUAUUAUUCUACCAUGUAGAAAAAAGUAAAAAUAAAGAAAAACCCAAUGAAUAGGGGUUCUAAAACAUUUGACCGGGAGUGUACAUAUGAGAUGAGUAAUGCAAAAAUGCGUAAACAUUAUUAAAGUGGCUAGUGUUCCAUUAUUAAAGUGGCCAGUGACUUCAAGUCUAUGUACAGUAUAUAUGGCAGCAGCCUCUAAGGUGCUAGUGAUUUCUAUUUAACAAGCUGAUGGUCUUGAGAUUGAAAAACAGCUUCUGUCUCUCAGUCCCAGCUUUGAUGCAUCUGUACUGACCUCGCCUUCUGGAUGGUAGCAGGGUGAAAAGGCAGUGGCUCGGGUGGUUGGUGUCCUUGAUGAUCUUUUUAGCCUUUCUGUGACAUCGGGUGCUGUUGGUGUCCUGGAAGGCAGGUAGUUUGCCCCCAGUGAUGCGUUGGGCAGACCGCACCACCCUCUGGAGAGCCUUGCAGUUGCGGAUGGUGCAGUUGCCAUACAAGGCGGUGAUACAGCCUGACAAGAUAGUCUCAACUGUGCAUCUGUAAAAUUUUGUGAGGGUUUUAGGUGCCAAGACAAAUUUCUUUAGCCUCCUGAGGUUGAAGAGGCGCUGUUGCGUCUUCUUCACCACACUGUCUGUGUGGGUGCACCAUUUCAGUUUGUCAGUGAUGUGUACCCCUAGGAACUUGAAGCUUUCCACCUUCUCCACUGCGGUCCCGUCGAUGUGCAUAGGUGGGUGCUCUCUCUGCUGUUCCCUUUAGUCCACAAUCUGCUCCUUUGUUUUGUUGAUGUUGAGUGAGUGGUUAUUUUCCUGGCACCACACUCCCAGGGCACUCACCUCUUCCCUGUAGGCCGUCUCAUAAUUGUUGGUAAUCAGGCCUAAUGCUGUUGUGUCGUCUGCAAACUUGAUGAUUGAGUUGGAGCCGUGCGUGGCCAGGCAGUCAUGGUGAACAGGAAGUACAGGAGGGGGCUGAGCACACACCCUUGUGGGGCCCCUGUGUUGAGGAUCAGUGAAGUAAAGGUGUUGUUGCCUACCUUCACCACCUGGGGGCGGCCCGUCAGGAAGUCCAGGACCCAGGGCGGGGUUCAGACCCAGGACCACGAGCUUAAUGAUGAUAUAAAUUAUAUUUUCAUUUGUUUAACACUUUUUUGGUUACUACAUGAUUCCAUAUGUGUUAUUUCAUAGUUUUGUUGUCUUCACUACUUUUCUACAAUGUAGAAAAUAGUAAAAAUGAAUAAAAACCCUUGAACGAGUAGGUGUGUCCAAACUUUUGACUGGUACUGUAUGUUAGUUCCUAGGAACAUAUGGAAACAUGAUCAAGACUCCUGCCAAAUCUCUACGUAUGUAGGUCAAGCAGGCAGCAUUAAUGAUCUCAUUCUGUUUCUGCUUUUAAAACGCACAACUUAUAACACAGGGUAGCCUGAUCCCAUAUGUAAGUGCUUUUAUACAUGUAGACACAUACAGAUCUGGGACCAGUCACAACAGGCAGGGUGAGUCCCAAUGCAAAAACUUCCUUUCCUGUGUCCUAUCUUCUAACUAUGGAGGCAACUACUUCUGACUCGAAAAUCUAUGUUUAUCCAACAAAUAGAUUACUUUGAGGACUGAAAACAUGGGUCAAACUUUGAUUUUGGAAAGAACUACCACUACGUAUUGGGAUUCACCCUAAGUCACCUUUUGUGUCUCCUCUCUCCUGUAUAGCUGGGAGGGUGUGGCCUGUUUGGAGUGGGAGUGUGGCUAUCAUUCACCCAGUCCGAGUUCUCCUCCCUCCCGCUGUCUUUUCCCUCACUCUCUGCAGCAAACCUACUUCUGGUCGCUGGGGGCGUCACCAUGGUGACAGGCUUCCUGGGUUGCCUUGGCGCCCUGAAGGAGCAGCGCUGCCUGCUGAUGACGUUCUUUGUAAUUCUUUUGAUCCUGGUGUUGACAGAGGUGACUCUAACCCUGGUCCUCCAUAUCUUUCACAACGAGCUGGACACGAAAGCUCAGGAUGAGUUAAAGGAGGGGAUGAAGGAUUACUUGACAGACGAAGGACUGAAGAGGUCAUGGGACAAUGUGCAGAAAAUGUUCAAGUGCUGCGGCGUGACCAACAAAACAGAUUGGUACCUCGUGAUCAACGGAACGCUCCCCUUUUCCUGCUGCUCCAGUGGGAUGGACCAAUGUGUUGAAGGAUGGAUCGAGCCGUGUUAUCAGAAGGCCAGACAGUGGCUCCUGGACAACAUCCUCUCUGUCCUGGUGUUUGGAGUCUGCAUUGGCAUUGUCCAGAUCCUGGCUCUGAUUUUCUCCCUGCUGAUGUACUGCCAGAUCCUCCGUGCUGAGAAGUACUUGGACUGAUCUGGGACUGGUCCUUCACAGACAGGAGAGGCUGAAUGAGAGACUCCCUAGCUGGCGCAGAGUUCAUCUAACGUUUCUUUCAAGUUUUGCUUCGGUUAUUUUAAAAAUAACUUCUCCACACCGCGGUGGGAACUAAAAAAAAGUGUUGGCUGGGUCCUGAAUGUUAUAUACCUGCUGCUGGGGAUGGUUUUUCAGAACAUUAGAUCCAGAUCAAAAUCAUCCUUUUUGCAUGUUCAAUUCUGUUUAAGUUUAAUAAAAUAUAUUUGAAUGAGAACACAUCACACAUUUGAAGGGUUAUUUUCCUCUGGAUUGAUGGUUCUUAGAACACUGCACUAAAAACCAUGGUGCACAUUCCAGGUCGUCUUCAUUGCGGUCAUGUUGCUCAGAUCUCACAACGCCUGGCAAAGUGUAAUUCAUUUGGCUUUGAGAGAUCUGAUCAUCUGGAAUACAGCCCUUUACUUAUCAUGUUUACGGAAGGACAUUAUUUGUAACUAUUGGGGACUACGUGCUACUUGUCACUUUCACUAUUAGCCGAUGAUAUUGUUUAGUAGUGAAAAUAUAAAGUGCUAACUCUGAUGUCCAUGAACAAGCAGUGAGAUUUGCCCCAAAGAAACACUUACAGUAUUCUGUUCAACUGCAGCAUAUUUUAAGCAGAAGUCUAAACUAUACGUUUUAAAGUGAGCCUUACCAAAGCAAAUAAAAUGUAAAUACAUUGUAAUUUGUAUGCAUGUGAAGUGGUAGUUGUUUUGUGAACUUGAGCAUUUUGUAAAAUACACACAUGUAUGACUCUGAUUGUGAAUGCGGUAAUAGUUCAAACAACUUGUUUUCCAUAUUGUGCGUAUGAGGUGUUGUCGGUAUGAAUUCACUUCUCUUAUAGUUGAGACGAGCCUAUGCUUUCAUAUACUUAUUCCGUCCAAUAGACAACUGAAGAGGUAAUUGACUUGCAAUAGGGUUCGUCAUUCUAAUGAAAUAUAUAUCACAUAUAAUUAUAAAUGGACUAUGAAAGUAUGCUAUUUAAUUAUGAUCUGCAGUCAUAACACCAAGUAAUGAAACCCAAACCAAACCGAUGACUACACUGUACAGUUCUUUGUAAAACAUGUCUAUAGAAAAACUUUGAUAAAAAAAUUAUUGUAUAAGUACACAUGAUUUUCAGACAAAUACAAUUGUGACAAUUCACGUGUCGUAGUGUUAUAAAAAGAUAAUGCCUUCUCCGUCUCUCAUCACAGGAGAGACUGAGGUCAUAGGAAGGGCCCUGAGUUCUACCUGACCUGAUCGGAAACAACUCCAGGCCUUAGUCCUAGAUUAGAGUUCAUACAGUAUUCCUGUGUUCACCAUUCAAAGGAAGUAGUGAGGAUUUCCCGAGCUGCCUUGACGGUGUAGGGUUGUCAGUCGUACUCCAAAAUCUCUAGCAAACUGAACGAUACUUUCC
rnacentral:lncRNA from 1 species